rnacentral:rRNA from 1 species
UACGAAGGGUGCAAACGUUGCUCGGAAUUAUUGGGCGUAAAGCGCACGUAGGCGGCUUAGCAAGUCGGAUGUGAAAUCCCUCGGCUCAACCAAGGAAGUGCAUCCGAAACUGCUGAGCUUGAGUACUUAAGAGGAUCGCGGAAUUCCCGGUGUAGAGGUGAAAUUCGUAGAUAUCGGGAGGAACACCAGUGGCGAAGGCGGCGACCUGGGUCGAUACUGACGCUGAGGUGCGAAAGCGUGGGGAGCAAACAGG